CUCGGCCUAUCACUAGCUAGCUGGUAGAAGGGGCCGACCCCCAUCUGGCUACAACUUCCAUACAGAAAGCAAUAGCACAACUAACUAAAAUGAAUUUCUUUGUCAGCGCAUACACAGAUAACAUUAUGGAGGAUUUGAAGCAGCAAGUACCAGAAUAAAUUAUAUGGUAUGGGAGGGUUGCUAUUCAAGCUGGAUGAAAAGUACAAAUGUUUCUAACGCAUUUCUGCUUCUGGUAUUUCCUAGAUUCUGUUUCUAUAGAAUUCUGUUUCGUGAAGAAAAGACAGAGAAAAUAUAUUCACAAGAGCGCAUGAAAGAAAGUGCCAUUUUAACAAUGAGUGAGAAAGUAUGUGCUUUUUCGAAAGGAUGUUAUGCUGUGGAGAUUCUGUGAUUUUCCUGCUGAAAGUGAUAUGCUGCCUGUAAUACCUCAUAUCUAUACAUAUCUGUACAUAUCUGUACACAUACAGAAACUUGGAAACAGUUUUCUAAACCAUUUUAAAAACCUUCCAGAGGAAAAGUUUCGGUGGGUUUUGAAUCUGUUUGUUAAAGAUGUUAAAAUGCAAUACUGUCCAGUUAGUAGAAGUGAAUAGCAUUUGAAGUGCUACAGCACACCACUGUUAUGUGAUCGCUUUCCCUUUUUAAUCUAUGAUGUGUGUACCUUCCUUUAAUAAAAACAAAACGAAACUGUUUUCAUGCAUGAAACUUACUUCUCAAGGUUUGACUAGAUGAUCUUGGAGCUCUUUCCCAACCUUGGUGGUUCCAUGAUUCUAGGAUCUGUGCUGUAAGUGUAGUGAUGCAUGUGAUGUGACAUGGUGGGAUUCUGAGCUUAACAAAAUAUUGCUUAUUUUGAUAUGCCGUUUCAAUUAACACCUUAUACAGAAUCAUAGAAUUAUGAAGGUUGGAAAGACCAUUAGAGCAGCUAGUCUAACCGUCAACCCACCGAAUCAUGUCAAUAGCAUAUCAAAGUGUUCAUAUAAGAAUGAAGCAGCCAGGUACUUUCCCACAAGUCAGGUACAACAUGGGAGCAUCUUGUAAGGGCUUAAGUGUCAAUGACGUUUUUUUUUAUUCCUGGUUCUUGCUUUGCUUUGGCUUUUCCUCUACUUAAUGAAGAAAGGGCAUGGGAUCACAACGGACAAUCUAAUAAACACAAGAAUGUAGUAAGGUGAUGUCAUCCUCAUAUUUAUGCAUCCACGGAGAGCUGAAUGGAAAUAUGAGGAAAGUACGGGGGAAUGGGUAUUACUUUUGUAUGCGUCCACUUCCUGUGGACCACAGGAAGUUCCGUGUUAACGCGAGGAAGAGCUUAAUGAGUGUCAGAGUGACGGAGCACUGGAUCAGGUUGCCCUGAGAUGUUAUGGUGUCCCUUUUCCUGGAGAUAUUCAAGACCCAUCUGGACACCUAUCUGUGUGACCUGCUGUAGGGAACCUGUUUUAGCAGAGCAGUUGGACUCAUUGAUCUCUAGGAGUACCUUCCAACCCCUACAGUUCUGUGAUUCUGUGUGAUUCUGUGGUUAGUAGGCAAGAACAACCAAUUUACACUGCGGAAGAAGGGAAUUAUUAGCUGAAUUUCAGCAAAAAACCUGUACAUAAAUGCUGGAUGGAAUUGAAAAAAAUGAGUACCGUGAUUUAGUACCUGCAUACAAAGAUGCUCUUCUUCCAUUUUAAUAUUUGUGAGGUAUCCAUUAAAACUAAGCACGGAAAUAAAGUGAAAUUACAGCCACACCUUUGAAUCAUUGGGUCACACAGUGUUAAACAGAGAUUCUCAAAAAUAAUGAACCGUAUUCAAUCACACUGCUCUCACCAGUAUUAUUAAUAUGUUUGUG
rnacentral:lncRNA from 1 species